AAAAGCAGAGACAUUACUUUGCCAACAAAGGUCUGUCUAGUCAAGGCUAUUGUUUUUCCAGUGGUCAUGUAUGGAUGUGAGAGUUGGACUGUGAAGAAAGCUGAGCGCCAAAGGAUUGAUGCUUUUGAACUGUGGUGUUGGAGAAGACUCUUGAGAGUCCCUUGGACUACAAGGAGAUCCAACCAGUCCAUUCUGAAGGAGAUCAGCCCUGGGAUUUCUUUGGAAGGAAUGAUACUGAAGCUGAAACUCCAGUACUUUGGCCACCUCAUGUGAAGAGUUGACUCAUUGGAAAAGACUCUGAUGCUGGGAGGGAUUGUGGGCAGGAGGAGAAGGGGAUGACAGAGGAUGAGAUGGCUGGAUGGCAUCACGGACUCGAUGACGUGAGUCUGAGUGAACUCCGGGAGUUGGUGAUAGACAGGGAGGCCUGGAGUGCUGCGAUUCAUGGGGUCGCUAAGAGUCGAAGACUGAGUGACUGAACCGAACUAAUUUCCAGAUUUCGAUGGGAAAAAGCCAUCCUGAGAGGACAGUGAAGAACAGCUGGGCCCAGGUGUCUGCAGAGUGGGAACCCUCAGUGUCAUUGGCAACAGCUAUGGUGUCCAGCGUGUGGUUUGAUGUAUUCCUGACAAAGGUUCCAGGGUUAUCUGUAAGCAAUAGCUUUCUGUGACAUGAAAGAAUCCCAAGAACAGAUUCCAUUUCUUAAAGCAUCAGUUGGGCUUUUUCUUUUUUUCUUUUCAAAUGACAGAGGGGUGUGGAUGCCCCUGGCACUGAGUGAAUGGGUGUGGCAGGGUGCUGGAUGCUCCACGUGCAUGGAUGGAGUCUCAGCUUGGGUGCCCCAGCAAUGCUGGUGGGGCAGCUUCCUUCUCAGGCCUGAACGUGUGGGCACAACUGAAACUGCUCCUCUAGAGUUUCCGCUGGGCAGUCAAUCUUUGCUUCCACGUCUAAGGAUGCAAACACUGCACCGCGGAAGGUGGUCACCCCACCCUUUCAUGAGUUGAACCCACAAUGGAGAAAGGGAAGAGAAAGGUCACAGAGGAUUUCACAUCCAGAGGGGAGAGGCUCUGGGGCACUGUGAGGGGCACCAGUCAGUGGGAGGGGCGAGGGGGAAGGGGGGCUCUGGGGAAACGUGGCUGAAGUCUCAGCUCCAUCAUGGAACUCUUUGGUACCAUGGAUACACUGUUUACUUAAUCCAGCUCCUGCUUUCCCUCCUGUGAAAUAAACGAUGCUCUCAAACUCUCCAGAAGCAUUUGGAAAAACUUACAAAUUCAUAAAAAUGUUGCAAGAAUGAAAAAUAAGAGUAUAAAGAACACCUAUAUACUCUUGACCCAUUAAUAGAUUUGUUUUGAAAUUUUUACUGCAUUUGUAUUUUCUCUCUCCAGAUAUGAUACAGAUAAAGACAGAUAUAGAGAUAGAGAUUGAGAUCAAUAUCGAGAUAUAUAGAUAUAGAUACGUGGAGCUUUCCUGAUGGCUCAGCAGUUUAAGAAUCCACCUGCAAUGCAGGACACACAGGAAAUGCAAGUUCAAUCCUUGGGCCAAGAAGAUCCCCUGGAGAAGGAAAUGGCAACUCAUUCCAGUAUUCUUGCCUGGGAAAUCCCAUGGACAGAGGAGCCAGGCGGGCUACAGUUCAUGGGGUCACAGAGUCAGACAGGACUGAGAAAAUAAACACACAGAUGCACACACACACACACAUACAUGUGCGAUUGUUUCUGAAUCGUAUACACAUACACAUACAUGUGCGAUUGUUUCUGAAUCGUAUGAGAGUAAGUCCUAUGCACUAUAACCCUCUAUCCUAAAUCCUUCAGCACACAUUAUACACACUAAUAUGUACAUACAUACAUAUAGCACAGUUAAAAGCUGUAGUAAAAUUAGUAUUGGUCUAACACUUCUAUCUAACCUAUCAUUGUAUUGCAGUUUUUGUCAACGGACCUAGUAUUUUCUUUUUUCUUUUUCUUAGCAGUACAACGUCCAGUCUAGAAUCUCAUAUUACAUUUACCUCUUUUGUCUCUCUCAUCUCUUUCAGUCUGGAUCAUUUCUAUAACCUUUCCUUAGCUUUUACAACAUGGACACUUUUGGAGAAUACACUGCCUUUCCAUUUUAACACCAUGUUUCUGAGCUGGGGUUUGCCUGCUGUUGCUCCGUGGUUACACCAGCUCAUGUUUUGGCUGUAACAUGGCUUAGGAGAUGCUGUGUCCUCCAGGAACUCGAUCUAGAAGCCCACGAUAUCCACGGCUGUAAUCACCCCAUGAAAAGAUUUUCUGAUUUCUCUGGCACUGCAGUUUAUAAUUUUACUUUGCAGCUGAUAAGCCAUGCAAAUAAAUACUUGUCUGUUCUUCAUCAGAAUGUCCCUCUUGAUUUAGGAUAAAUGGAUGAUAUUUUUCAUGAAUCAGUAUUUACUGUGAGGUUUGAGAAAUGAUGGGUUUCAUUCUGCUACAUUCUUUUCACAUUUAGUAGCUUGCCUUAGAAGUUCUACUAGAAAUAAGAGCCCCCUCUUAGUCCCCAGUUUCUUAUGCAUUAUUGGUAUGAAUUUUGGACUCAAGGUCAUUACAGUUUAAUUAUCUUGAUAUCCCCCAGCCUUGCUGCAGUGUCUCUGUGACUUAUCCUUGUCUUGGUUUUGAGCACUUUACUACUUUCUGGUAUAAAACAGUGUUCCAGGCUCAAAAUGUACCCACUCUACCCUCACCCUGGAAUCACCAUGACAUGAAAAAUUUUUGAAAACAUCAGCUCCAUGGUUUAUCCUGGAACACUGCUAGCAAAGCAGCCUGCAUUAUGUGAGACCAAAGCUCUUUAGAUAAAAGUAAAGUAAGUCCCUUCAGUCAUGUCUGACUCUUUGCAACCCUUUGGAUCUGUAACUGCCAGGCUUCUCUGUCCAUGGGAUUCUCAUGCAAGAAUACUGGAAUGGUUUGCCAUACCCUCCACCAGGGGAUCUUCCCAAACCAGGGAUCAAACCCAGGUGUCUCACAUUGCGAACAGAUUCUUUACCAUCUGAGCCACGUGGGGAGACCUUUACACAUAAGAGCAUGUUUGUAAGGUUUGUUUCAUUUCUAGCUUUAGGAAAAUUCAAUUAUCUAACCUUUCUCUGACUAAUUCCUAUACCUGAAACAUAGCUUUAAAAAAAUCCAUUAAGAACAUGAUCAAGUGUUUUAAAUUUCCAAAGUUCCUGUCCCUGGCAUCAUGUAAAAUUUAAGGAAAUAAAAAUGACUCUCUCCCCAACAUUUGAAGGAUACGAUAAUUAAUCAGAAAACAGUUACUUGAAGGUUAAUUCAGAUGGAACACUGCUAGCAAAGCAGCCUGCAUUAUGUGAGACCAAAGCUCUUUAGAUAAAAGUAAAGUAAGUCCCUUCAGUCAUGUCUGACUCUUUGCAACCCUUUGGAUCUGUAACUGCCAGGCUUCUCUGUCCAUGGGAUUCUCAUGCAAGAAUACUGGAAUGGUUUGCCAUACCCUCCACCAGGGGAUCUUCCCAAACCAGGGAUCAAACCCAGGUGUCUCACAUUGCGAACAGAUUCUUUACCAUCUGAGCCACCUGGGGAGAGACCUUUACACAUAAGAGCAUGUUUGUAAGGUUUGUUUCAUUUCUAGCUUUAGGAAAAUUCAAUUAUCUAACCUUUCUCUGACUAAUUCCUAUACCUGAAACA
rnacentral:lncRNA from 1 species